rnacentral:rRNA from 1 species
CCAGUAUAGUAAACAUGGAGGAAAGGAUCAUUA